GACGAACGCUGGCGGCGUGCUUAACACAUGCAAGUCGAACGGAAAGGCCCCUUUGGGGGUACUCGAGUGGCGGACGGGUGCGUAACACGUGAGUAACCUGCCCUUGACUUCGUGAUAACUUCAGUAAACUGGGGCUAAUACCGGAUAGGAAUCCUUGCUGCAUGGUGGGGGUUGGAAAGCUUCGGCGGUUUUGGAUGGACUCGCGGCUUAUCGGCUUGUUGGUGGGGUAGUGGCUUACCAAGGCUUUGACGGGUAGCCGGCCUGAGAGGGCGACCGGCCACAUUGAGACUGAGAGACGGCCCAGACGCCGACGGGAGGCAGCAGUGGGGAAUAUUGAACAAUGGGCGGCAGCCUGAUGCAGCAAGGCCGCGUGCGGGAUAACGGUCUUCGGGCUGUAAAACGCUUUCAGCAGGGGCGAAGCUUGUGGUGACGGUACCUGCAGAAGAAGCACCGGCUAACUACGUG
rnacentral:rRNA from 1 species